GACGAACGCUGGCGGCGUGCUUAACACAUGCAAGUCGAACGGAAAGGCCCUGCUUUUGUGGGGUGCUCGAGUGGCGAACGGGUGAGCAACACGUGAGUAACCUGCCCUUGACUUUGGGAUAACUUCAGGAAACUGGGGCUAAUCCCGGAUAGGAGCUCCUGCUGCAUGGUGGGGGUUGGAAAGUUUCGGCGGUUGGGGAUGGACUCGCGGCUUAUCAGCUUGUUGGUGGGGUAGUGGCUUACCAAGGCUUUGACGGGUAGCCGGCCUGAGAGGGUGACCGGCCACAUUGGGACUGAGAUACGGCCCAGACUCCUACGGGAGGCAGCAGUGGGGAAUAUUGCACAAUGGGCGGAAGCCUGAUGCAGCAACGCCGCGUGCGGGAUGACGGCCUUCGGGUUGUAAACCGCUUUCGCCUGUUACGAAGCGUGAGUGACGGUAAUGGGUAAAGAAGCACCGGCUAACUACGUG
rnacentral:rRNA from 1 species